rnacentral:rRNA from 1 species
CGGUAGCAGGAAGUGCUUGCACUUUGCUGACGAGUGGCGGACGGGUGAGUAAUACUUAGGAACAUGCCUUUGUGUGGGGGAUAACCAUUGGAAACGAUGGCUAAUACCGCAUAAUGUCUUUGGACCAAAGAGGGCUUUCGGGCUCUCGCGCAAAGAGUGGCCUAAGUGAGAUUAGCUUGUUGGUGAGGUAAAGGCUCACCAAGGCGACGAUCUCUAGCUGUUCUGAGAGGAAGAUCAGCCACACUGGGACUGAGACACGGCCCAGACUCCUACGGGAGGCAGCAGUGGGGAAUAUUGCACAAUGGGGGCAACCCUGAUGCAGCCAUGCCGCGUGUGUGAAGAAGGCCUUCGGGUUGUAAAGCACUUUCAGUUGUGAGGAAAGGUUGAUGGUUAAUACCCAUCAGCUGUGACGUUAGCAACAGAAGAAGCACCGGCUAACUCCGUGCCAGCAGCCGCGGUAAUACGGAGGGUGCGAGCGUUAAUCGGAAUUACUGGGCGUAAAGCGCACGCAGGCGGUUAUAUAAGCUAGAUGUGAAAGCCCCGGGCUCAACCUGGGAAUAGCAUUUAGAACUGUAUGACUAGAGUCUUGGAGAGGGGAGUGGAAUUCCAGGUGUAGCGG